GCAGUAUUCGUAUAGUUGCUAGUACGCCUCGUUGUGGCCGAGGCACCGGUGCUUCGAUUCCACCAUACUGCC